rnacentral:rRNA from 1 species
GUCUCAGUUCGGAUUGCAGGCUGCAACUCGCCUGCAUGAAGCUGGAAUUGCUAGUAAUCGCGGAUCAGCAUGCCGCGGUGAAUACGUUCCCGGGCCUUGUACACACCGCCCGUCACACCAUGAGAGUCGGGAACACCCGAAGUCCGUAGUCUAACCGCAAGGAGGGCGCGGCCGAAGGUGGGUCCGGUAAUUGGGGUGAAGUCGUAACAAGGUAAC